rnacentral:lncRNA from 1 species
GAAGAGUGUGGUAGGUAACGGUCGUCAGCGCAAGGGUCAUUUCGUCGCUGGGAAGGGACGGCCCUCGCCCGCGGUGAUGGUGCCUCAAAGAGUUGCUGAGAGCUAAAUUAAUUGAGUGCGGCUGGAAGGAUCAGUUGAAGGCACACUGUAAAGAGGUAAUUAAAGAAAAAGGACUAGAACACGUUACUGUUGAUGACUUGGUGGCUGAAAUCACUCCAAAAGGCAGAGCCCUGGUACCUGACAGUGUAAAGAAGGAGCUCCUACAGAGAAUCAGAACAUUCCUUGCUCAGCAUGCCAGUCUUUAAGGGGGAAUUAGAAUGUGCUGGUCUGUGGAUUUAUUUCUGAAAGUAAAACUUGCCAUAAUUAGAAAUUGAUUUCCCAAAAUAAAGUCCUUUUUUGUAUGAUGGUAUACAGUUUUCAGUAAUGAUGUAUACAUUGUAUUGAUUUUUUCCCUAAAUGUGUUAUUUUAAUAAAUAUCUCAUGAAUAAGCUUCAAUUUUUUAUUUUAAAAU